rnacentral:rRNA from 1 species
AGCGAACGCUGGCGGCAGGCCUAACACAUGCAAGUCGAACGAACUCUUCGGAGUUAGUGGCGGACGGGUGAGUAACACGUGGGAACGUGCCUUUAGGUUCGGAAUAACUCAGGGAAACUUGUGCUAAUACCGAAUGUGCCCUUCGGGGGAAAGAUUUAUCGCCUUUAGAGCGGCCCGCGUCUGAUUAGCUAGUUGGUGAGGUAAAGGCUCACCAAGGCGACGAUCAGUAGCUGGUCUGAGGGGAUGACCAGCCACAUUGGGACUGAGACACGGCCCAAACUCCUACGGGAGGCAGCAGUGGGGAAUCUUGCGCAAUGGGCGAAAGCCUGACGCAGCCAUGCCGCGUGGAUGAUGAAGGUCUUAGGAUUGUAAAAUCCUUUCACCGGUGAAGAUAAUGACUGUAGCCGGAGAAGAAGCCCCGGCUAACUUCGUGCCAGCCGCCGCAGUAACAC